GAUGAACGCUGGCGGCGUGCCUAAUACAUGCAAGUCGAGCGAACGGACGAGAAGCUUGCUUCUCUGAUGUUAGCGGCGGACGGGUGAGUAACACGUGGAUAACCUACCUAUAAGACUGGGAUAACUUCGGGAAACCGGAGCUAAUACCGGAUAAUAUUUUGAACCGCAUGGUUCAAAAGUGAAAGACGGUCUUGCUGUCACUUAUAGAUGGAUCCGCGCUGCAUUAGCUAGUUGGUAAGGUAACGGCUUACCAAGGCAACGAUGCAUAGCCGACCUGAGCGGGGGAUCGGCCACACUGGAACUGAGACACGGUCCAGACUCCUACGGGAGGCAGCAGUAGGGAAUCUUGCGGGAUGGGCGAAAGCCUGAUGGAGCAACGGCGCGUGAGUGAUGAAGGUCUUCGGAUCGUAAAACUCUGUUAUUAGGGAAGAACAUAUGUGUAAGUAACUGUGCACAUCUUGACGGUACCUAAUCAGAAAGCCACGGCUAACUACGUG
rnacentral:rRNA from 1 species